rnacentral:rRNA from 1 species
GAUGAACGCUGGCGGCGUGCCUAAUACAUGCAAGUCGAGCGAACAGACGAGGAGCUUGCUCCUCUGACGUUAGCGGCGGACGGGUGAGUAACACGUGGAUAACCUACCUAUAAGACUGGGAUAACUUCGGGAAACCGGAGCUAAUACCGGAUAACAUGUUGAACCGCAUGGUUCAACAGUGAAAGACGGUCUUGCUGUCACUUAUAGAUGGAUCCGCGCCGCAUUAGCUAGUUGGUAAGGAACGGCUUACCAAGGCAACGAUGCGUAGCCGACCUGAGAGGGUGAUCGGCCACACUGGAACUGAGACACGGUCCAGACUCCUACGGGAGGCAGCAGUAGGGAAUCUUCCGCAAUGGGCGAAAGCCUGACGGAGCAACGCCGCGUGAGUGAAGAAGGUCUUCGGAUCGUAAAACUCUGUUAUUAGGGAAGAACAAAUGUGUAAGUAACUAUGCACGUCUUGACGGUACCUAAUCAGAAAGCCACGGCUAACUACGUG